CACUCCAAAGCAGCCUCGGCUGCACUGCUCCUCCGAAUGGGUGUAAGUGGGGAGGAGCUCGCCCUAAUCCAGGAACCCUGGAUUCACCAAGAAAGGGUGAGUGGACUAGGCAUGAAAAGCUUUAAGCUAUUGUACGCAAAAGGAUCUGUGAUGAAGACACCGUAGCAGCCAUAUGGGAGACCAGUGUAGGUGCUAUAUUGGUUAUCUCGGCGUACAUGGCUCACGACCACAGCGACCAGCCACCGAACAACCUGGUCUGCAGAUCCAUAGAGAUGGCAAACUCGAAAAGCAUGCCGAUCAUCAUGGGGGCUGAUGCCAAUGCCCAUCACACUGUUUGGGGAAGCUCGGACAUAAACGCUAGAGGUAUCACAAAGGGAUCAAAAUUCUGGACCCAAGUGUGUCCCCAGUGAUGACAUCGCGAGGACGACCUGCCUACCUAACCUAUCC